UACGUAGGGUGCAAGCGUUGUCCGGAAUUAUUGGGCGUAAAGAGCUCGUAGGCGGUUUGUCGCGUCGGCUGUGAAAACCUGGGGCUUAACUCCGGGCCUGCAGCCGAUACGGGCAGACUAGAGUUCGGCAGGGGAGACUGGAAUUCCUGGUGUAGCGGUGAAAUGCGCAGAUAUCAGGAGGAACACCGGUGGCGAAGGCGGCUCACUGGCCCGGUACUGACGCUGAGGUGCGAAAGCGUGGGGAGCAAACAGG
rnacentral:rRNA from 1 species